CCUACGGGGGGCUGCAGUGAGGAAUAUUGGUCAAUGGGCUUACGCCUGAACCAGCCAAGUCGCGUGAGGGAAGACUGCCCUAUGGGUUGUAAACCUCUUUUGUCAGGGAGCAAUUGGCGCUACGUGUAGCGUUAUCGAGAGUACCUGAAGAAAAAGCAUCGGCUAACUCCGUGCCAGCAGCCGCGGUAAUACGGAGGAUGCGAGCGUUAUCCGGAUUUAUUGGGUUUAAAGGGUGCGUAGCCGGAAUGCCAAGUCAGCGGUAAAAUCGCGGGGCUCAACCUCGCUCCGCCGUUGAAACUGGCGGUCUUGAGUGGGCGAGAAGUAUGCGGAAUGUGUGGUGUAGCGGUGAAAUGCAUAGAUAUCACGCAGAACUCCGAUUGCGAAGGCAGCAUACCGGCGCCCAACUGACGCUGAAGCACGAAAGCGUGGGUAUCGAACAGGAUUAGAUACCCUUGUAGUC
rnacentral:rRNA from 1 species